GACGAACGCUGGCGGCGUGCCUAAUACAUGCAGGUUGAGCGCUGAAGGUUGGUACUUGUACCAACUGGAUGAGCAGCGAACGGGUGAGUAACGCGUGGGGAAUCUGCCUUUGAGCGGGGGACAACAUUUGGAAACGAAUGCUAAUACCGCAUAAAAACUUUAAACACAAGUUUUAAGUUUGAAAGAUGCAAUUGCAUCACUCAAAGAUGAUCCCGCGUUGUAUUAGCUAGUUGGUGAGGUAAAGGCUCACCAAGGCGAUGAUACAUAGCCGACCUGAGAGGGUGACCGGCCAAAUUGGGACUGAGACACGGCCCCAACUCCUACGGGAGGCAGCAGUAGGGAAUCUUCGGCAAUGGACGAAAGUCUGACCGAGCAACGCCGCGGGAGUGAAGAAGGUUUUCGGAUCGUAAAACUCUGUUGGUAGAGAAGAACGUUGGUGAGAGUGGAAAGCUCAUCAAGUGACGGUAACUACCCAGAAAGGGACGGCUAACUACGUG
rnacentral:rRNA from 1 species